rnacentral:rRNA from 1 species
AGUGAACGCUGGCGGUAGGCCUAACACAUGCAAGUCGAACGGCAGCACAGUAAGAGCUUGCUCUUACGGGUGGCGAGUGGCGGACGGGUGAGGAAUACAUCGGAAUCUACUUUUUCGUGGGGGAUAACGUAGGGAAACUUACGCUAAUACCGCAUACGACCUACGGGUGAAAGCAGGGGAUCUUCGGACCUUGCGCGAUUGAAUGAGCCGAUGUCGGAUUAGCUAGUUGGCGGGGUAAAGGCCCACCAAGGCGACGAUCCGUAGCUGGUCUGAGAGGAUGAUCGGCCAAACUGACAAUGAAACGCGGUCCAAGCUCCAAGGGAAGACGACAGUGGGGAAUAUGGAGCAAUGGGCGCAGGUCUAACCGCGCCAUAGGGAGUGGGAGAAAAAGGCCUGCGGUUUGUAAAGCCCUUUUUUGGGGAAAAAAAAGCAAGAGGUUAACACCCCGGUGUUCUGACGGAACCCAAAAAAAAAACACCGACUAACUUCGUC